rnacentral:rRNA from 1 species
AACGAACGCUGGCGGCAUGCCUAACACAUGCAAGUCGAACGGGAUCCUAGCUUGCUAGGUGAGAGUGGCGGACGGGUGAGUAACACGUGGGAAUCUGCCUUUUGGUUCGGGAUAACCGCGGGAAACUGCGGCUAAUACCGAAUGCCCUCGAGAGAGGAAAGAUUUAUCGCCAGAAGAGGAGCCCGCGUCCGAUUAGGUAGUUGGUGGGGUAAAGGCCUACCAAGCCGACGAUCGGUAGCUGGUCUGAGAGGAUGAUCAGCCACACUGGGACUGAGAUACGGCCCAGACUCCUACGGGAGGCAGCAGUGGGGAAUAUUGGACAAUGGGCGAAAGCCUGAUCCAGCAAUGCCGCGUGAGUGAUGAAGGCCUUAGGGUUGUAAAGCUCUUUUACCCGGGAUGAUAAUGACAGUACCGGGAGAAUAAGCUCCGGCUAACUCCGUGCCAGCAGCCGCGGUAAU